rnacentral:lncRNA from 1 species
AGGCCCCCACCUGCGCCGCGCUCGCGCCUGCUUCUCUCCGCUUUCUCCGCUUUCUCCUCACAUCGCACAUCUCCGCUUUCUUCUCCUCGCGCCGUGCCACAGCCGCUACCUUCUCCUCGCGGCGUGUCGCCGCCUUCUCCUCCUCGCGCUGUGCCACCGCCUUUUCCUGCUGAAUCGCCGCCGAUCUGCACAUCCUCGACUCCGACGAACCCUCAACUCAUGGUGGCGCCGCCUCCUCUCCGACAGGUGCUGUGGAGGUCACUCAUAGCUCCUAGAUCCAGCGCCGCAUCCCGUCGUCAAGGUCCUCAUGCCACCGGCGAAGCCCACCUCCACGUGUUGCUCGCGCCCCUUCAACUCCUCUUCGGUUAGCAUGCACUUUUGUGGGGUUUUUUUUUCGAUCUAAAAUUGUGGAUGGUCUGUGUUUUAUUCAUCUCAAGAAUCUCGGUCGAGACCGAGACCGAAAAAACCGAGACCGAAUUGUCCGGUCUUCAAUUUUAUCGAGGACCGAUCGGUCUUGACUUUCUGAUGACCGAAAUUUCAUCCAGGACCGAAGACCGAGACCGAAUUGCUCGGUCAGACCGAAUGCCCACCCCUACCUAUAGAUAUCAGAUCCGAUACAUGAGUAUUAAAUCCGAUACAUAUAGAUAUCAGAUCCAGGACCUGAGUAUUUGUCACACCCCAAUCCGGCACCGCCGCACAACGGCACCUGACAGGAGCGUGUCGUAGAAAAAACGGCGCGAACCGCUUCCUUACGAAACCGCGAUCUCGGUACCAGUCCCAGGACAUAGUGCUGGUACCCACGGUGACAAAUAUGAAUCAUAGCAAUCCUUAAAAUAAAUAGAGGACUUAUUUACCUUAACUUAGGUUGCAGCUCAGACAGCCCGAGAAUGCAACCGACGACACGGACGAGGCGAACACCAACAACAGCAGCAGCAGCGGAACCAACGGACUAACACCCAACACCAC